rnacentral:rRNA from 1 species
CCUACGGGUGGCAGCAGUGGGGAAUAUUGGGCAAUGGGCGCAAGCCUGACCCAGCAACGCCGCGUGAAGGAAGAAGGCUUUCGGGUUGUAAACUUCUUUUGUCAGGGACGAAGAAAGUGACGGUACCUGACGCAUAAGCCAAGGUUAACUACGUGCCAGCAGCCGCGGUAAUCCGUAGGUGGCAAGCGUUCUCCGGAUUUAUUGGGUGUAAAGGGCGUGUAGGCGGGAAUGCAAGUCAGAUGUGAAAACUAUGGGCUCAACCCAUAGCCUGCAGUUGAAACUGUAUUUCUUGAGUGCUGGAGAGGCAAGCGGAAUUCCGUGUGUAGCGGUGAAAUGCGUAGAUAUACGGAGGAACACCAGUGGCGAAGGCAGAUUGCUGGACAGUAACUGACGCUGAGGCGCGAAAGCGUGGGGAGCAAACAGGAUUAGAUACCCUUGUAGUC